rnacentral:rRNA from 1 species
CGCGGCCUAUCAGCUUGUUGGCGAGGUAACGGCUCACCAAGGCAACGACGGGUAGCUGGUCUGAGAGGAUGGCCAGCCACAUUGGGACUGAGAUACGGCCCAGACUCCUACGGGAGGCAGCAGUGGGGAAUCUUGCGCAAUGGCCUAACGGCUGACGCAGCGACGCCGCGUGUGGGAUGAAGCUCUUCGGAGUGUAAACCACUGUUGCCCGGGACGAACAGCUCGAUUAAUCGAGCCUGACGGUACCGGGUGAGGAAGCACCGGCUAACUCCGUGCCAGCAGCCGCGGUAAUACGGGGGGUGCGAGCGUUGUCCGGAAUCACUGGGCGUAAAGGGCGCGUAGGUGGUUUGAUAAGGGUGUGGUGAAAGUCCGGGGCUCAACCCCGGAUCUGCCGUGCCGACUGUCAAACUCGAGGACUGUAGAGGCAGACGGAAUUCCGGGUGUAGCGGUGGAAUGCGUAGAGAUCCGGAGGAAGACCGGUGGCGAGGGCGGUCUGCUGGGCAGUUUCUGACACUGAGGCGCGACAGCGUGGGGAGCAAACAGGAUUAGAUACCCUGGUAGUCCACGCCGUAAACGAUGGGUACUAGGUGCCUGGGGGAGCGACCCUCUGGGUGCCGGCGCUAGCGCAGGAAGUACCCCGCCUGGGGAGUACGG